GGUGGGUUGAACGUGGUUUUGCGGCUAACUAAACCUCACAUUUUAAGGCAAUGUUAAAUGACAACAUUUAAUUUACAUGACAGGAGUACUAGUACAUUACAAAUAAACACAAGAACAACCGAGACAGAAAAAUACAUAUAUAAAUGAUAUAAUAGCACAUUUCGACAGGUUUACUACGAAUACCUUGAAUUAAUUAAGGACAGUAC
rnacentral:lncRNA from 1 species